rnacentral:tRNA from 1 species
GGAGAGAUGCCAGAGUGGUUGAAUGGGACGGUCUCGAAAACCGUUGUGGGCCUCGUUGUCCACCGUGGGUUCGAAUCCCACUCUCUCCGCCU